CACGCAGGCGGUCUGUCAAGUCGGAUGUGAAUUCCCCGGGCUCAACCUGGGAACUGCAUCCGAAACUGGCAGGCUAGAGUCUUGUAGAGGGGGGUAGAAUUCCAGGUGUAGCGGUGAAAUGCGUAGAGAUCUGGAGGAAUACCGGUGGCGAAGGCGGCCCCCUGGACAAAGACUGACGCUCAGGUGCGAAAGCGUGGGGAGCAAACA
rnacentral:rRNA from 1 species